CUGAAAAUAAAUCAGACUUUAAGAAAGAAAUCAUAUAUAUAUGCAAUUAGCCUUUUAUGUGUAAAGUGCUAAAAGUGUAAUUCAUCAAAUGUACAUUCUUUGUAAGGCUGCAGCAGAAAGGGGAAUGUAUUGUGCAAUUACAGGCAUGCUGAUCAGAACCUCUGUGAUCUCUAGGGGCCUUUGGAUCAGGUCCUAUAUGUUUCCUCCUGAUACAAACUGAUCUCUUCUGCAUGACACCAGCAUAAAUUAAUGCCAAGUGUAGCUGGAAUAAUUUAUAAGGCUAUGGAAAUGUACAGCCACAAGAGACUUAUCUGUCUACAAGAUUGUACAAGCAAAAGGCAAAAACAAAGAUUUCCAGUUCCAAAACUUGUGUCCUUUUGCACUUUAGGGGUAUUUAUUUUAAUGGUGCUCAGAGGGCUCAAAAAUCAAUAUGUAAAUUCUUAAAUUGCCCAACAAAAUCCUUAAAAUGAAAGCUCAAGCCAGUGUUUUACUCAAAAUCCAAAUGUCCAAUAUGAUAUGUCAAGGCAAAUUAUAAAAACAUAAAUCUGUACACUGUUAGAACUGAAUAAAAAUGUUAACUAGAAAGAAAUAAACUGGUAAUAUUUAUAAAAUACAGAGAUAGAUUUCCCCCAAAAAGGAACACUUCUGGAAGAAAAUCACAACUUGAUGUGCAACUUGUGUUAAAAAUGCUGGUGCAGAAAUUCCUUAUGCCAUAGGCAUUGAUUUCCUGAGUUCCUGGGGGUGUUCGACCCCCACUCCACCCCAGGCUCUGCCCCCACUCCAUCCCUUCCCACAAGCUCCUGUCCUGCCUCUUCCUGCCCCUCCCCUACCUCUUCCUGCCCCCACUCCUCCCAUUGCCUGUUCAGCACCUCCUGUACACCACUGAACAGCUGACUGCAGCAGUCAGGAGGCACUGGGUGGGAGGGGGAGAAGCUGAUCCUCAGGGCUGCCAGUGGGUGCUGAGCACCGACUGUUUUUUUUUCCAUGGAUGCUUCAGCCUCGGAGCAACCAUGGAGUCGGCUCCUAUGUCAAUUCCCAUGACUCAAAAGUCUGUUCCUCAAACAGAGCUAAUACUGAAGAAAUGUUAUGCUGCUAUUAGUAAAAUUGGCUAUCCAUAACGGAGUACGACAUAUUGUAAUAUUUCCAGAAGUAAUCCUCCAAGACAUCUAGAGGGUAUGUGAGAUCCCUGUAGGACUCAGAGCUAUGUAUUCCAAAAAUGAAUUUAUCCAGCAAAGUUAUUCACACUAUCUGAAACUAACCCAGUACUUGACAUAUACAGUGUUGUGAUAGCCAUGUCAGUUCCAGGAUAUUAGAGAGACAAGGUGGGUGAGGUAAUGUCUUUUAUUGGACCAACUUCUGUUGGUGAGUUAUACAGAGCUUGUCAUCAGGUCUGGGAAUCGUACUCAGAGUGUCACAGCUAAAUACAAGGUGGGACAGAUUGUUUAGCAUAAGUAAUUAACACAUAUUUCAAAGGGGCCAUUCAAGAUGAAAUGAGCCAAUAACACCUCUCCAGUCAUAAGGGGGAAAGGAAAAAAACCUGGGAUGUGGGGGUUAUGUCAGUUAUAGAUUGUUGUAAUAAGCCAUAAAUCCAGUGUCUCUAUUGAGCCCAUGAUUUUUAGUGUCUAGCAAAGUUAAGUAUUUAAACUCCCAGGCUCGUAUUUUGAAGGUGUUGUGCAGAUUUCCGUUGAGAAUGAGGACUGAGAGGUCAUAUGUAGAGUGAUCGCUUUGUGAAAAGUGAUCACCUACACAUGAUAUGGUGUUUUCUGUGUGAGUUCAUUCAAGAGAGUAGUGAUUGUCUGGUUUCAUCCACAGAGUUGUUGUUUGGGAAUUUAGGACACUUGAUGCAGUACUCCAUGUUUCGCAGACCCAAAGAAGAGCUCUAUGUAAACUUGAAAGCUCGUCUCUCUAACCAACAGAAGUUGGUCCAAUAAAAUACCACACCCACCUUGUCUCUCCAGUACCUGAUAACAGAGUAUAGCUACCUUCUGCACAUCACAUACACAUAUUUCCAUUUCAACCUACACUGACCCUUCAAUAUUUAAGUGUCCUGUUUCAGAGUUAAUUAUGAAAUCUAGUGGCUUAUGGGGGAAAUUAAGGGAGGAGGGAGUGCAGGGAUAGCAACAUUUUAUACCAUGACUAUGGGUGAGGUGGGAGAUAUGUGACAGCUCAUUCAGUGUUAUGUAUUUGUUUUGUCUAUAAUGAUAACAUGUUGGAAUAUAUGCUGUUUUUGGUCAUGCUCUUUCAAUAUGUAGGCUUGUGGAUGAACAAUUCAUUAGGUACAACAUUGAUCUCAUAUUUGUCAAAAAGAAUGCAUUGAUCCCAUUGGUACUGGGAAUAGUAAUGUAUGUUUUGGGGUUUUUUGUAAAGCUAACGCUAACAACUGUUUAUUUUACAUUGAACAAUAUUAUUAACUGGUUCUCACAUUGCUGAUGUUAGCAGUUACAGCUUUAAAAUCAUGAGAGAUUAUAGUUUUCUAUUUGAAUUGUAAUGUUCAAUGUAAAAUUGUUGACACAGCUAAGAGAUCAUUCAUCUCAGUUUCCCCAACUAGGCUUGAGCUUAAAAACUUGGGAUCCUUGAUCUAGUGCAUGAAAACAUUCCCCACAAAGGUAUGUUGUGAGCAGAUAUUGCUCACAUAUUUUAACAUGUAUUGUUAAAGAGGAAUUUACAAAGAAGUGACCUGUCACAAGCCUCCCACUUUACCUACGGUCAUAUACAUGACACAAAACUCAUGACACAAAACUCCUUUUUCCACCUCAAAAUCACAGCCAGUCCUGGGGAUGAAUUUUCCCUUUUUUUGCAAAUAAGACAAGAUAUGUUAACCUAAUCUAUGUCUACAGGGUAUUGUCUUCUUCAGGCUGACCAGUGCAGGAAAAAACAUUAAUCACUCCCCUGAUACUAAAAAUGUAAACUUUAUCACGUUUUCUAAAGGGAUGUCAUAAGAAGAAGUGUUAAUAAUGUGAAAGUCCCAGUCCAAAGUGAAACUGCAGAAUGCAUCCUAGAACUGUGCCAGUUGUUGACAGCUUCACACUGCUGCUUGCUGAUCCAGCAACACAAUUUUCUGAGUCAUCCUCAAGUCUGAUUGCCCCGAUUCAGACACUAAAUCUAAAUACACUAUCACACUUGUGAAAAGACAGUAGCUGUAAAUAUGUUUCAAGGAUUUGGCAGAGGAGCCGAAGUUCAUAAUACAAUGGACAAGAAGUCAAAAUGGCUUUGGCUCUCACUGGGAGGCGUAAAGCUGGAGAAGAGAACAGCAAUAUGUGUCACUCAGAGGAAAGAGAAUCCAACACUCAUGUGAGAGAGGCCAAAGCACAUGUUAACUUGAGGGAGGCCUACACAUCAGAUUCCUCUCUCAUCUGGGAUUGCCAGUAAAGUGGCAGAAGUACCAAAAUGGAAGGUACUGGAGAAAAACUUCUGCAUUUCUGGAGAGUCAACAAAGGUGGACCAGGACAUGAUACCAUCAACAUGUGCAAACUGAAGCUGAGGAUUGUAGAGCCUGUAAAUAUGUUCCCUAGGUGUUCCAGAGAAAAUUGCUGCAGAUGCUGGUGAACACUUAGGGUUUUAUAAUUUAAAGAAGAAUAUUGUAACUGUUGGUGUUAAUUUCUAUCUGCAUGAAAUGUGCUAUCCUUGAAACUAAUCUUUACGGCUUCUUACCCCGUUCUCCAAAUGGCUUGUCAAAACUCUCCUCUGCUGUAAGCCCUACAAGAAUUUAGCAAACUAAUGAGGGCUAGAUUGGGGGUGAUUGUGUUCAGGAUAGCUGAUAUUUAUUGAUUUUUUAAAAAAUACUGUGAAAUGAUUCCAAGCAACUAUCAAGUUGUACAUGUAUGACCUAGUCCAAACCUAUUGAAGUCAAUAGGAGUCUUAACAUUGACUUUGAUGUGUUUUGGAUUAGCUUCAUAUUUAACUUUUAUAUAGUGGUGUGAUCUUAAUUCUGUCACCUUCAUGCUCCUCCCACCCUCUUUUCCUUCCAUUGUUUUGUAGCCUUCACUUGUGAUUCUUGUCUUAAUUUUGACUGAAAGCUAUUUGGGGCAGGGUCUUCCUAUUUCUUCUUCUGUGCACCUGGCCCAUCAGGGUAAUCCACUGGCGGGCUGCGAGACAGUUUGUUUACAUUGACUGUCCACAGGCACGCCCGCCUGCAGCUCCCAGUGGCCACAGUUCGCUGUUCCCAGCCCAUGGG